rnacentral:rRNA from 1 species
GCCUACGGCCAUACCACCCUGAGAACGCCCGAUCUCGUCUGAUUCUCGGAAAGCUAAGCAGGGUCGGGCCCGGUUAGUACUUGGAUGGGAGAACCGCCUGGGAAUACCGGGUGCUGUAGGCU